rnacentral:rRNA from 1 species
GUGCCUACGGGGGGCAGCAGUGAGGAAUAUUGGUCAAUGGGCGGGAGCCUGAACCAGCCAUGCCGCGUGAAGGCGAGUGCCCUACGGGCGUUAAACUUCUUUUGUGCGGGAGCAAUAAGGGCCACGUGUGGCCCGAUGAGAGUACCGCACGAAUAAGCAUCGGCUAACUCCGUGCCAGCAGCCGCGGUAAUACAGGGGAUGCGAGCGUUAUCCGGAUUUAUUGGGUUUAAAGGGUGCGUAGGCGGGCUUUUAAGUCAGCGGUAAAAAUUCGGGGCUCAACCCCGUCCGGCCGUUGAAACUGGGGG